AUUGAACGCUGGCGGCAGGCCUAACACAUGCCAGUCGAACGGUAACAGGAAGAAGCUUGCUUCUUUGCUGACGAGUGGCGGACGGGUGAGUAAUGUCUGGGAAACUGCCUGAUGGAGGGGGAUAACUACUGGAAACGGUAGCUAAUACCGCAUAACGUCGCAAGACCAAAGAAGGGGACCUUCGGGCCUCUUGCCAUCGGAUGUGCCCAGAUGGGAUUAGCUAGUAGGUGGGGUAACGGCUCACCUAGGCGACGAUCCCUAGCUGGUCUGAGAGGAUGACCAGCCACACUGGAACUGAGACACGGUCCAGACUCCUACGGGAGGCAGCAGUGGGGAAUAUUGCACAAUGGGCGCAAGCCUGAUGCAGCCAUGCCGCGUGUAUGAAGAAGGCCUUCGGGUUGUAAAGUACUUUCAGCGGGGAGGAAGGGAGUAAAGUUAAUACCUUUGCUCAUUGACGUUACCCGCAGAAGAAGCACCGGCUAACUCCGUG
rnacentral:rRNA from 1 species